rnacentral:rRNA from 1 species
GCGCAGCAGUCGCGAAAACUCCGCAAUGCGCGAAAGCGUGACGGGGUCACCCCGAGUGCCGUCCGCUGAGGAUGGCUUUUGCCUGGUCUAACCAGCCGGGUGAAUAAGGAGAGGGCAAGUCUGGUGUCAGCCGCCGCGGUAAUACCAGCUCUCCGAGUGGUGGGGAUGUUUAUUGGGCCUGAAGCAUCCGUAGCUGGCUGAGCAAGUUCUCCGUUAAAUCCAGCGAUUUAAUCGUUGGACUGCGGGGGAUACUGUUCGGCUAGGGGGCGGGAGAGGCCGACGGUAUUCUCGGGGUAGGGGUGAAAUCCUAUAAUCCCGGGAAGACCACCAGUGGCGAAGGCUGUCGGCUAGAACGCGCCCGACGGUGAGGGAUGAAAGCUGGGGGAGCGAACCGGAUUAGAUACCCGGGUAGUCC